rnacentral:rRNA from 1 species
UACGUAGGGUGCGAGCGUUAAUCGGAAUUACUGGGCGUAAAGUGUGCGCAGGCGGCCGAGCAAGUCGAGUGUGAAAGCCCGAGCUUAACUUGGGAAUUGCGCUCGAAACUACUUGGCUGGAGUGUGGCAGAGGAAGGUGGAAUUCCAGGUGUAGCGGUGAAAUGCGUAGAGAUCUGGAGGAACACCGAUGGCGAAGGCAGCCUUCUGGGCCAACACUGACGCUCAUGCACGAAAGCGUGGGGAGCAAACAGG